rnacentral:rRNA from 1 species
GACGAACGCUGGCGGCGUGCUUAACACAUGCAAGUCGAACGGAAAGGCCCUGCUUGCAGGGUACUCGAGUGGCGAACGGGUGAGUAACACGUGGGUGAUCUGCCCUGCACUUCGGGAUAAGCCUGGGAAACUGGGUCUAAUACCGGAUAGGAGCCAUUUUUAGUGUGAUGGUUGGAAAGUUUUUUCGGUGUAGGAUGAGCUCGCGGCCUAUCAGCUUGUUGGUGGGGUAAUGGCCUACCAAGGCGGCGACGGGUAGCCGGCCGGAGAGGGUGGACGGCCACAUUGGGACUGAGAUACGGCCCAGACUCCUACGGGAGGCAGCAGUGGGGAAUAUUGCACAAUGGGCGCAAGCCUGAUGCAGCGACGCCGCGUGGGGGAUGACGGCCUUCGGGUUGGAAACUCCUUUCGCUAGGGACGAAGCUUUUUGUGACGGUACCUAGAUAAGAAGCACCGGCUAACUACGUG